rnacentral:lncRNA from 1 species
CUGGAAGAUCCACCCAGCAGACUCCCCUCACAGGAAUGGUGCUGCAGAAGCAGCUGUUCGCACUGUGAAGCGGGCCUUGCACAAUAUGAGAGGCGAAGGACUCUUCACAUGGAGGACGUCAGGCGUUUGGUUGUGUUAUUACCUGUAGAAGAGCAGAAGUAAAGCGAUCGAAGAUGGAGCCGAUGUGACCUCCUUGGGUUCAAGAACCAGGAGAUCAAGUGGGAGGUGUUGCGUCAAAAGACAGGUGGUGAAAUGUUUGGUGGAAAAGCAUUUCACUGGAAGUCCUUCACGGAAGAGGAGACUCAUCCAUACACAUUCAGCUCAUUUAGGAUUCUGGACACUCAACCGUCUGAGGACAGAGCCCAGUUUGAGAUCCUCAAGUCCCAGAUGUACGCCGAGUGAGCAGCCAAGAGGGACCGCACACCUAAACGAGCCAGGGCCAUGCCAGAGGAUGAGCCUGUCCAGAAAGGCCCAUCCCUCCCCCGUGUCAUCGAUGGCCAGCCAGCGUAUACGGUUUAGGAGAAAGUAAGGGUCAUUUCGAUGGGAAAAUGACAAGACGAGCAGUUUGGAUGGAUCUAUUCACCUUCAGUGUAUUUUUUUCAUUGACGUUAAAAGUUUCUUUCUUCAUAAAGCAGUGCUUUCCCACUUUUCAGUGAGGGCAUGAUAAAAAGACACUCACACAGGUUGUCUGGUUGCGGUGUAUAACCAUACCAGGGUUUCAUGUAACCUGUUGAAGCCUCACUUCAAAAAUACGGUGCUGAGAAAAAUGGCCUCUGUGUUAAUGAAGUUGUCAAUUUUAUAAAGGUUUAAUCUGUAUUAUUGUGAGAUGGGUUUUCGAAUGGCCAUCAACAUCCUUGCAGCAGUGAAAUCCAUGUAGGUAUUAUCUUGGUUAUAGCUGCAAUAAUUGGUAUCAAUAAAGUACAA